AUCGGUGACAGGUGGUGCAUGGUUGUCGUCAGCUCGUGUCGUGAGAUGUUGGUUAAGUCCCGCAACGAGCGCAACCCCUAUUGUUAGUUGCCAUCAUUCAGUUGGGCACUCUAGCGAGACUGCCGGUAAUAAACCGGAGGAAGGUGGGGAUGACGUCAAAUCAUCAUGCCCCUUAUGACCUGGGCUACACACGUGCUACAAUGGUUGGUACAACGAGUUGCGAGUCGGUGACGGCGAGCUAAUCUCUUAAAGCCAAUCUCAGUUCGGAUUGUAGGCUGCAACUCGCCUACAUGAAGUCGGAAUCGCUAGUAAUCGCGGAUCAGUACGCCGCGGUGAAUACGUUCCCGGGCCUU
rnacentral:rRNA from 1 species